rfam:Lachnospiraceae bacterium 28-4 genomic scaffold acPFn-supercont1.1, whole genome shotgun sequence.
UUACGUACCAUCAGUUAUUUCAUUUAUGAAAUGGCCAAAAACGAAGGGGGAAAUUGCCAUGGAGGGCAAUUUCAGGAAGCGUGGGCAUGGAUGCCCUUGCUUCCGCCCCGGCCGGUUUGAUCAUUUGCGCCCAUUUCAUUAAUGAAAUCUGAUGGAACGUUC